CGUUUAAGUGACAAUUCAAUUCAAUUCACAAACACAAACCCCCAAGAUUUAACACCAUCUCUGUCUCUGAAGCUCACACUCAGUGACGACCUCGGCGGACAACUAUGGCGGACACCAACGGCAACGGCGGCAGCCAUGAAGUUCUGAUGCUGGAAGCUCCGCCGCCGGUAGGUCCGGCAUGGCCAGGACCUCUAACCAACGCUGAAACCACUGACGCAUUGCCCUACAUCGACGACGACUACGCCAACCCCGACGUCAAGCGCGAGGUAGACCGCAUGGUGGAGGAGGAGUUGCGGCGCAGCGCCAAGAAGCCCGCCGAUUUCCUCAAGGAGCUGCCGCCUCUUCCCAAGCCCAAUUUCAAGGAUCAUCCGAUGCUGGCUAGGGAAUACGAACGAGUGAGAGCAUCGAGGCCUCCGGUGGCGAUUGAUUUUUCGAGAGACAAAGUGGAGCUGCCGCCGGUGAAUAAAAUGAAUGAUGAAACUGCUUGGAAGCUUGCUCUCCAGAAAGCUCAGUGCUCUCUGCAGCACCAAGCCGUCAGGUUGGAGAAUUUGGAGCUGAUUGACAAGUAUGGUCCUGAUGCCUGGAUUCAGAACAACAAUAGAUUGCAAUCGAUUUUGUCGAGGAUGCAGAAAUUAGCUCAGGAGCAAUAUCAAAAUAUCGAAACAGUGAAUCGUGAAAGGAAACAUCAUCAGCAAACCACUGCGUAUGAGCUUAAUGCUCUGGCUGCUCAAUGGAAGGAGCUUUGCCAGAAGAAUAUAGAAAUUCAAUCUGCCUGUGUUAAACUUGAAAACCAUCUUGAAGAAUCGAGGAGGGAAGCGGCCGGAGGAGGCUGGACCUUGGAUGCCAAUGCAGAAAAUUGUUCUCUAUUGACUGCUGAAUGAGAAGUAUCAGGUAGCCAUCAGAACCAGAGUUGAUUAAAACCUAGGCUUUGUCACUUGUGCCCUAGAAUAUGCGACGAUUAAUUUUUGGGAUUUGGAUGAAGACCCGGCAGAGAUCGUGAUACGGGAAUAUUAGCGUUGAUGCAACAAGCAUCAUAGCGUGCAGCUGGAUUGAUCUUUGUUGCCCUUUCGAUGAGUGGUCGUUUUGCCCCAGUUCCACGCGUUGAAUCCAAUUGUAAUUAAUCAUCGCACAUGUUUUCAGUUGGUAUUAAUGUAAUGAAAUCUCUUUUAACUA